AUUGAACGCUGGCGGCAGGCCUAACACAUGCAAGUCGAACGAGUGGCGGACGGGUGCGUAAUGUCUGGGAACCUGCGUGAUGGAGGGGGAUAACUACGGGAAACGGUGGCUAAUGCCGCAUAACAUCGUAUGUGCCCAGAUGGGAUUAGCUAGUAGGUGGGGUAAAGGCUCACCUAGGCGACGCUCCCUAGCUGGUCUGAGAGGAUGACCAGCCACACUGGAACUGAGACACGGUCCAGACUCCUACGGGAGGCAGCAGUGGGGAAUAUUGCACAAUGGGCGCAAGCCUGAUGCAGCAAUGCCGCGUGUAUGAAGAAGGCUUUCGGGUUGUAAAGUACUUUCAGCGGGGAGGCGUUACCCGCAGAAGAAGCACCGGCUAACUCCGUGCCAGCAGCCGCGGUAAUUC
rnacentral:rRNA from 1 species